CUUUUUAAAAAAAUUAUAGCUUCACUGGGUAUCAGGGCUUAGAUGAAAAACACGGGUCAACCAUCACCAGCCACUCAUCUACUCUUCUCUUUGUGAUUAUCCUGUGUAGGCGAUUCUAAAUUUAUCUCAAGAUCAGGAUUAAGCAGAAAAAAAAAAAAAAAAAACCCAAAAUGGUCUUGGCAACAUCACUACUCUGGCUGCUUGUGGAAGCAACAAGUGACUUCAUCUAACAUUCACUUGCGUAAGGCAGUUCCGAAGUGGGAACACUCACCUGCCCAUGACAGUUGCCAGGAGACCAGAGGCUCUGCUGGGGAAAUCCCUUGGUCUGCCAAAGCGUUUUUCUUUCCGCAUAAAAGGUCAGUCGGCUCCUAGGGGCAAGUGUGGAAUUACAGAAGGUGUCGAGGACUAAGCACAAGCCGGCUGCUAUCGGCUGCUUUCCAACAACGCUGUAAAGCUUCUCCUUGAGUCACGGCUCUUUUUUCAGACGUUCCAUAGCAGUUGGAGAACUCCAGAAGUGUGAGUCUCCGUUUCCGGUCCUGAGAGCUCACACACCACCUGGGAGCCUCCUGCCCCAGACACCGGCCUGGACAGGCCAGCCUCUCCCUCGAAGUCUCGAGAAGGGGUGGUUUCAGAAGGCUGCAGGUGUGUGCGGAGUUUGUCGCUGGGAUGGCGCGCUGGUGGGAAGACAGCCCACGGGUGUCGCCCUCCAUCAAGGUCAAGUUAUCCAGCCUGGCUCGUGCUGCCCGGAGUUUGCUACGUCACUAGAGUGAAGUCAUAGAAUGAACUGGCUAGAGAGAAGUGGUGCUGAGCCUGAAAAGGGAGGAAAUAAACAGCUGAAAGUCCUAGCCA
rnacentral:lncRNA from 1 species